rnacentral:sRNA from 1 species
UUGAUUGAUGUCAAGCCAACCUUUCC